rnacentral:rRNA from 1 species
UGCGUAGGCGGUGCGGUAAGUCAGGUGUGAAAUCCCGGGGCUCAACCCCGGAACUGCACCCGAUACUGCCGUACUUGAGGACCGGAGAGGAGACUGGAAUUCUCGGUGUAGCAGUGAAAUGCGUAGAGAUCGAGAGGAACACUCGUGGCGAAAGCGAGUCUCUGGACGGAUCCUGACGCUGAGGCACGAAGGCCAGGGUAGCGAAAG